rnacentral:rRNA from 1 species
CGCGUAGGCUGUUUUUCAAGUCAUAUGUGAAAACCUCAGGCUUAACUUGAGGACUGCAUAUGAAACUGGAAAACUUGAGUGCAGUAGGGGAAAGUGGAAUUCCUGGUGUAGCGGUGAAAUGCGCAGAUAUCAGGAAGAACACCGGUAGCGAAGGCGGCUUUCUGGGCUGCUACUGACGCUGAGGCGCGAAAGCUAGGGGAGCAAACAGGAUUAGAUACCCUGGUAGUCC